rnacentral:misc_RNA from 1 species
UUUCCGUAGGUGAACCUGCGGAAGGAUCAUUACAGAGUUCAUGCCCACACGGGUAGAUCUCCCACCCUUGAAUAUUUAUACCUUAGUUGCUUUGGCAGGCCGUGGAAACACCAUGGGCUCCGGCUUAUGCGUGCCUGCCAGAGGAAACAAACUCUGUUUUUAGUGAUGUCUGAGUACUAUAUAAUAGUUAAAACUUUCAACAACGGAUCUCUUGGUUCUG